rnacentral:rRNA from 1 species
GACGAACGCUGGCGGCGUGCUUAACACAUGCAAGUCGAACGGAAAGGCCCUGCUUUUGUGGGGUGCUCGAGUGGCGAAAGGGUGAGUAACACGUGAGUAACCUGCCCUUGACUUUGGGAUAACUUCAGGAAACUGGGGCUAAUACCGGAUAUGAGCUCCUUCUGCAUGGUGGGGGUUGGAAAGAUUCGGCGGUUGGGGAUGGACUCGCGGCUUAUCAGCUUGUUGGUGGGGUAGUGGCUUACCAAGGCUUUGACGGGUAGCCGGCCUGAGAGGGUGACCGGCCACAUUGGGACUGAGAUACGGCCAAGACUCCUACGGGAGGCAGCAGUGGGAAAUAUUGCACGAUGGGCGGAAGCCUGAUGCAGCAACGCCGCGUGCGGGAUGACGGCCGUCGGGGUGUAAACCGCUUUCGCCUGUGACGAAGCGUGAGUGACGGUAAUGGGUAAAGAAGCACCGGCUAACUACGUG